rnacentral:rRNA from 1 species
UACGUAGGGGGCAAGCGUUAUCCGGAUUUACUGGGUGUAAAGGGAGCGUAGACGGGACAGCAAGUCUGAUGUGAAAGGCAGGGGCUCAACCCCUGGACUGCAUUGGAAACUGUUGACCUGGAGUACCGGAGGGGUAAGCGGAAUUCCUAGUGUAGCGGUGAAAUGCGUAGAUAUUAGGAGGAACACCGGUGGCGAAGGCGGCUUACUGGACGGUAACUGACGUUGAGGCUCGAAAGCGUGGGGAGCAAACAGG